CCUACGGGUGGCAGCAGUGGGGGAUAUUGCACAAUGGGGGAAACCCUGAUGCAGCGACGCCGCGUGAGUGAAGAAGUAUUUCGGUAUGUAAAGCUCUAUCAGCAGGGAAGUAAGUGACGGUACUUGAUUAAUAAGACGCGGCGAAAUACGUCCCAGCAGCCGCGGUAAUACGUAGGGGGCAAGCGUUGUCCGGAGUGACUGGGUGGAAAGGGAGCGUAGACGGCAGCACAAGUCUGGAGUGAAAGGCCGGGGCUUAACCCCGGAACUGCUUUGGAAACUGGGCAGCUGGAGUGCAGGAGAGGCAGGUGGAAUUCCUAGUGUAGCGGUGAAAUGCGUAGAUAUUAGGAGGAACACCAGUGGCGAAGGCGGCUUACUGGACUGUAACUGACGUUGAGGCUCGAAAGCGUGGGGAGCAAACAGGAUUAGAUACCCUUGUAGUC
rnacentral:rRNA from 1 species